rnacentral:rRNA from 1 species
AGAGUUUGAUCAUGGCUCAGGACGAACGCUGGCGGUGUGCUUCACACAUGCAAGUCGAACGGAGUAGCAAUACUUAGUGGCGGACGGGUGAGUAACGCGUGGGAAUCUGCCCAAGGGUGGGGGAUAACUAGCCGAAAGGUUAGCUAAUACCGCAUAUGCCGUGAGGUAAAAGGAGUAAUCCGCCCCUGGAUGAGCCUGCGUCCGAUUAGCUAGUUGGUGGGGUAAAGGCCUACCAAGGCUACGAUCGGUAGCUGGUCUGAGAGGAUGAUCAGCCACAAUGGGACUGAGACACGGCCCAUACUCCUACGGGAGGCAGCAGUGGGGAAUUUUGGACAAUGGGGGCAACCCUGAUCCAGCCAUGCCGCGUGAGUGAUGAAGGCCUUCGGGUUGUAAAGCUCUUUUGGCGGGGACGAUGAUGACGGUACCCGCAGAAUAAGCCCCGGCUAACUUCGUGCCAGCAGCCGCGGUAAGACGAAGGGGGCUAGCGUUGUUCGGAAUUACUGGGCGUAAAGCGAGUGUAGGUGGUUGUUCAAGUUGGAUGUGAAAGCCUUGAGCUCAACUCAAGAAAUGCAUUCAGGACUGAGCGACUAGAGGACCGGAGAGGAUAGUGGAAUUCCCAGUGUAGUGGUGAAAUACGUAGAGAUUGGGAAGAACACCAGUGGCGAAGGCGGCUCGCUGGACAAGUAUUGACGCUGAGGUGCGAAAGCGUGGGGAGCAAACAGGAUUAGAUACCCCGGUAGUCC